rnacentral:tRNA from 1 species
ACAUUGGUGAUUCAGCAGUAGAAGUCUCACCUUCCAGGCAGGAGACCUGGGUUCGAUUCCCAGCCAGUCUA